UGGGGAAAUAUUGCACAAAUGGGGGAAACCCUGAUGCAGCCAUGCCGCGUUGUGUGAAGAAGGCCUUCGGGUUGUAAAGCACUUUCAGUUGUGAGGAAAAGUUAGUAUGUUAAUACCUGCUAGCCGUGACGUUAACAACAGAAGAAGCACCGGCUAACUCCGUGC
rnacentral:rRNA from 1 species